CUGGCGCGAUAAGCGCUGGGAAACGGCGUCUAAUACUGGAUAUGUGACGUGAUCGCAUGGUCUGCGUCUGGAAAGAAUUUCGGUUGGGGAUGGGCUCGCGGCCUAUCAGCUUGUUGGUGAGGUAAUGGCUCACCAAGGCGUCGACGGGUAGCCGGCCUGAGAGGGUGACCGGCCACACUGGGACUGAGACACGGCCCAGACUCCUACGGGAGGCAGCAGUGGGGAAUAUUGCACAAUGGGCGCAAGCCUGAUGCAGCAACGCCGCGUGAGGGACGACGGCCUUCGGGUUGUAAACCUCUUUUAGCAGGGAAGAAGCGAAAGUGACGGUACCUGCAGAAAAAGCGCCGGCUAACUACGUGCCAGCAGCCGCGGUAAUACGUAGGGCGCAAGCGUUAUCCGGAAUUAUUGGGCGUAAAGAGCUCGUAGGCGGUUUGUCGCGUCUGCUGUGAAAUCCGGAGGCUCAACCUCCGGCCUGCAGUGGGUACGGGCAGACUAGAGUGCGGUAGGGGAGAUUGGAAUUCCUGGUGUAGCGGUGGAAUGCGCAGAUAUCAGGAGGAACACCGAUGGCGAAGGCAGAUCUCUGGGCCGUAACUGACGCUGAGGAGCGAAAGGGUGGGGAGCAAACAGGCUUAGAUACCCUGGUAGUCCACCCCGUAAACGUUGGGAACUAGUUGUGGGGUCCAUUCCACGGAUUCCGUGACGCAGCUAACGCAUUAAGUUCCCCGCCUGGGGAGUACGGCCGCAAGGCUAAAACUCAAAGGAAUUGACGGGGACCCGCACAAGCGGCGGAGCAUGCGGAUUAAUUCGAUGCAACGCGAAGAACCUUACCAAGGCUUGACAUAUACGAGAACGGGCCAGAAAUGGUCAACUCUUUGGACACUCGUAAACAGGUGGUGCAUGGUUGUCGUCAGCUCGUGUCGUGAGAUGUUGGGUUAAGUCCCGCAACGAGCGCAACCCUCGUUCUAUGUUGCCAGCACGUAAUGGUGGGAACUCAUGGGAUACCGCCGGGGUCAACUCGGAGGAAGGUGGGGAUGACGUCAAAUCAUCAUGCCCCUUAUGUCUUGGGCUUCGACGCUAUGCUACUGA
rnacentral:rRNA from 1 species